rnacentral:pre_miRNA from 1 species
AAAAAAUUGAACCGUCGGUCUGCCGAACAAAUAUCACCUGCUCGGUGGAAGAUCAUGCCUUUGUCGU